rnacentral:rRNA from 1 species
GACGAACGCUGGCGGCGUGCUUAACACAUGCAAGUCGAACGGAAAGGCCCUGCUUGCAGGGUGCUCGAGUGGCGAACGGGUGAGUAACACGUGGGUGAUCUGCCCCUUACUUUGGGAUAAGCCUGGGAAACUGGGUCUAAUACUGGAUAGGACCAUGCUGUAGGUGGUGUGGUGGAAAGAUUAGUUUCGGUAAGGGAUGAGCUCGCGGCCUAUCAGCUUGUUGGUGGGGUAAUGGCCUACCAAGGCGUCGACGGGUAGCCGGCCGGAGAGGGUGGACGGCCACAUUGGGACUGAGAUACGGCCCAGACUCCUACGGGAGGCAGCAGUGGGGAAUAUUGCACAAUGGGCGCAAGCCGGAUGCAGCGACGCCGCGGGGGGGAUGACGGCCUUCGGGUUGUAAACUCCUUUCAGCCAUGACGAAGCCCUUGUGGUGACGGUAGUGGUAGAAGAAGCACCGGCUAACUACGUG